AUAUAUACUUUAAAUAAUUCACGAUUUUAUAUAAUUCUACAGCGCGCAGUGGCAGCGCGUAAACUUGAAGAGCGCCAAAAGCUGUUAAAAAUGAGCUUUUGUAGAAAAUGACAAGCGUGAGAUACUUUUAGAAGAAUGCGCGCACACACUCACGCACACAUAUACCCACAUACAUACACGUUUAUAGUUUAUCACAAACUUUCAGCAUUCCAUUAGUUCGUACGUCUGCGGUAUGCAGAGAGCGAGAGAGGCACACACGCGCGCUUUUUGGGCGCACCUCAUUUUUGUAGCGUUAGAAGCGUGUUAAGUGGCGCGCUGGCAGGUAUAGAUACCUACACAACUACACACACACACAUAUGUAUUUACGACGACGCUGCUCUCGCUGUCGACCUAUUUACCACAUACAACACAUCCGGAUAUAAGUAUAUACAUACAUACAUCUGUACAUGCACUAGAGCGAAACAGCGAGCUUUUAGCAGCCACAGGCAAAUAAGCGCGCUGACAAGCUUUUGUUUUUUUUUCUGUAGCGCGUUAGCAACACGCUCUGUACUGGCGGUGGCUCCUAAGCAACAAUUAAAUAUAUAUACAUACAUAUGUAUAAGUACACGAAAAAGGGGAGAGCGCGCACCAUUAGAUACAGCUACACUGCCAUACACGCGCACUCACAUAGAUACACUCGCUUGCGCGCCGAAUGGCGCUCUCUGGCGUUGAAUUCCUACACAACCCACCACCUCACCGCACUGCGAAAUGCCCCAACGCAACCACACGCGCGUUACUAACGCCAUACAAACUUGUGCGCCUAAGUAAAUGUGUGCGUGUGUAUCCAUGUAUUUUCCAUAAGAUACAAAAGUGUAUCUGUGCGCGCGCCUAAACGAUUGCGUAGUAGCGCUGCAAAGCUACAAAAGUCUAACGAACGAACGAACGAACGCGCAUCUGUUUGAGUGCCAGCAGCGAAGUUAGAAAAUAUAAAUUAAAUAAAACAACAAAAACGAGUACAAGAGAACAACAAAAGCAGCAAAUAAUCAUGUAGAAUAUUUUUCGCGCUGUUUUGUUGUUGUUGUUGUUUUUAGUGUAUGUGUGUGUAUUUUUUCAUGGCCUACAUAAGAAAUUGUUUCAAUAUCGCUUGGCUACGCGUAUCUCUAAUAAUCCGUUGAGCUUAUCAGCGUUUUCAGCGAUUCAUAUGGUCAUAUAAUGGAAUUAAAAAAUAAAAAUACUUUACAUUUUUAAUAGCGCAUUUCAUUUAAUUUAGAUUUUUCGUUCUUCUAAGCGAUUAGAAUUUAGUAGUUAGCGAGCGCUAAGCUUUUUUGAUGUACAAAUACAUAAGAAAAUACUAUACAUAUGUAUGAUACUUAAAAUAUUGUACCUUCGUAAAAGUCUAACGACCCUAAGCAAUGAAAAAUGUAUAUUAAUAACUAAAAAAAUUUAAAUGUUAAUAGUAAAUUUAUUUAAAAUUAAGUUCACUUAAAAUUUAUCUGAGAAAUUUGCUUUGAUUGCCAAUAAAACUGGCAGUGUGAGGCACUCGGAAUGCAAAGAAGAGAAAUAUGACGUAAAAUGUGUGUCUACUUAGAUGAAUAUACAGACAUACAUUUAUACAAAUUAGAAUAUAAUUCUUGGAGCAUCUGCACUUACAUAUACACCAAAAACAUGCCUGAGCUUAUGAAAUCACUAAGCAAUCAUAAAAUAUGGUCCAAGUGUCAAUUUAGAAAGCUUUUUUUCAAAUUAUUACAAAGAAGAGCAAAAAUAAAAAAUCGAUAUGUGUUUAUA